UGAGGAAUAUUGGUCAAUGGGGGCAACCCUGAACCAGCCAAGUCGCGUGAAGGAUGAAGGUCUUAUGGAUUGUAAACUUCUUUUACACGGGAAUAAAGUGGGGGACGUGUCCCCCUUUGCAUGUACCGUGUGAAUAAGGAUCGGCUAACUCCGUGCCAGCAGCCGCGGUAAUACGGAGGAUCCGAGCGUUAUCCGGAUUUAUUGGGUUUAAAGGGUGCGCAGGCGGGAUGUUAAGUCGGCGGUGAAAUUUUGCAGCUCAACUGUAAAAGUGCCUUCGAUCCUGGCCUCCUUGAGUGUGGAUGAAGUAGGCGGAAUUUGUGGUGUAGCGGUGAAAUGCUUAGAUAUCACGAGGAACUCCGAUUGCGCAGGCAGCUUACUAAGCCACAACUGACGCUCAUGCACGAAGGCGUGGGGAUCAAACA
rnacentral:rRNA from 1 species